GAUGAACGCUGGCGGCGUGCCUAAUACAUGCAAGUCGAGCGAACAGACGAGGAGCUUGCUCCUCUGACGUUAGCGGCGGACGGGUGAGUAACACGUGGAUAACCUACCUAUAAGACUGGGAUAACUUCGGGAAACCGGAGCUAAUACCGGAUAAUAUAUUGAACCGCAUGGUUCAAUAGUGAAAGACGGUUUUGCUGUCACUUAUAGAUGGAUCCGCGCCGCAUUAGCUAGUUGGUAAGGUAACGGCUUACCAAGGCAACGAUGCGUAGCCGACCUGAGAGGGGGACCGCCCCACCUGAAAUUGGGCACCGUUCCAGACUCCAACGGAAGGAAGAGGUAGGGAAUCUUCGGAAAUGGGGGAAAGCUUGCCGGAGAAACGCCGCGUGAGUGAUGAAGGUCUUCGGAUCGUAAACUCUGUUAUUAGGGAAGAACAAAUGUGUAAGUAACUAUGCACGUCUUGACGGUACCUAAUCAGAAAGCCACGGCUAACUACGUG
rnacentral:rRNA from 1 species